UACGUAGGGGGCUAGCGUUGUCCGGAAUCAUUGGGCGUAAAGCGCGUGUAGGCGGUCCGGUAAGUCCGCUGUGAAAGUCGGGGGCUCAACCCUCGAAUGCCGGUGGAUACUGUCGGGCUAGAGUGCGGAAGAGGCGAGUGGAAUUCCUGGUGUAGCGGUGAAAUGCGCAGAUAUCAGGAGGAACACCGAUUGCGAAGGCAGCUCGCUGGGACGUCACUGACGCUGAGACGCGAAAAGCGUGGGGGAGCGAACAGG
rnacentral:rRNA from 1 species